UUGCUUUGGCAGCACAUGCAGUUAAUUUGGACUGAACCUGGGAAGAUUAACAUGGCCCCUAUGCUAGCAUGAUAUGCAAAUUUAUGAAGUGGUCUAUAUGUUU